rnacentral:rRNA from 1 species
GACGAACGCUGGCGGCGUGCCUAAUACAUGCAAGUAGAACGCUGAAGGAGGAGCUUGCUCUUCUGGAUGAGUUGCGAACGGGUGAGUAACGCGUAGGUAACCUGCCUGGUAGCGGGGGAUAACUAUUGGAAACGAUAGCUAAUACCGCAUAAGAGUAGAUGUUGCAUGACAUUUGCUUAAAAGGUGCAAUUGCAUCACUACCAGAUGGACCUGCGUUGUAUUAGCUAGUUGGUGGGGUAACGGCUCACCAAGGCGACGAUACAUAGCCGACCUGAGAGGGGGGUCGGCCACACUGGGACUGAGACACGGCCCAGACUCCUACGGGAGGCAGCAGUAGGGAAUCUUCGGCAAUGGACGGAAGUCUGACCGAGCAACGCCGCGUGAGUGAAGAAGGUUUUCGGAUCGUAAAGCUCUGUUGUAAGAGAAGAACGAGUGUGAGAGUGGAAAGUUCACACUGUGACGGUAUCUUACCAGAAAGGGACGGCUAACUACGUG